rnacentral:rRNA from 1 species
UACGGAGGGGGCGAGCGUUGUUCGGAAUUACUGGGCGUAAAGCGCACGUAGGCGGCUUUGUAAGUUAGAGGUGAAAGCCCGGAGCUCAACUCCGGAAUUGCCUUUAAGACUGCAUCGCUUGAAUCAUGGAGAGGUGAGUGGAAUUCCGAGUGUAGAGGUGAAAUUCGUAGAUAUUCGGAAGAACACCAGUGGCGAAGGCGACGCACUGGACAUGUAUUGACGCUGAGGUGCGAAAGCGUGGGGAGCAAACAGG